CAGGUCUUGACAUCCCUCUGAAUAGUCUAGAGAUAGGCUAGGCCUUCGGGACAGAGGAGACAGGUGGUGCAUGGUUGUCGUCAGCUCGUGUCGUGAGAUGUUGGGUUAAGUCCCGCAACGAGCGCAACCCUUGAUUCUAGUUGCCAGCAUUAAGUUGGGCACUCUAGAGUGACUGCCGGUGACAAACCGGAGGAAGGUGGGGAUGGCGUCAAAUCAUCAUGCCCCUUAUGACCUGGGCUACACACGUACUACAAUGGCCGGUACAACGGGAAGCGAAGUGGCGACACGGAGCCAAUCUUCAUAAGCCGGUCUCAGUUCGGAUUGCAGGCUGCAACUCGCCUGCAUGAAGUCGGAAUUGCUAGUAAUCGCGGAUCAGCAUGCCGCGGUGAAUACGUUCCC
rnacentral:rRNA from 1 species